rnacentral:rRNA from 1 species
UACGAAGGGGGCUAGCGUUGCUCGGAAUCACUGGGCGUAAAGGGUGCGUAGGCGGGUCUUUAAGUCAGGGGGGAAAUCCUGGAGCUCAACUCCAGAACUGCCUUUGAUACUGAGGAUCUUGAGUUCGGGAGAGGUGAGUGGAACUGCGAGUGUAGAGGUGAAAUUCGUAGAUAUUCGGAGGAACACCAGUGGCGAAGGCGGCUCACUGGCUCGGUACUGACGCUGAGGUGCGAAAGCGUGGGGAGCAAACAGG